GGUCAAGUCCUUCGCAAUGCGACACUGCCCAACCCCGCCAGGUCCGGAAGGAAGCAACGGCCGGCAGACGUGCAUGUGACGAAGGGAAGCUUGGCCUUC
rnacentral:SRP_RNA from 1 species